UUUUGACGGCCGCCGCAAGAGCUCGGCCCGGGAUAUGGCGCUGGCGCAGUGUGCCCAUCGAUGGAUCCCCUGCUCGUCUCCACGGCGCUGCGCGAGCGCAGGCACUUCAUCUGGCUGCGCCGGCGAGCACGCGGUCCACCCGGUGGCUCUCCUCUGUCCGAAUUCAGCAGCGAAGAAUUUGCCAAGGUACACUAUCAGAAAGGAAUGACAAAGAAAGUGUUAGGCAUACAUUCGUUUUUACUUUGUUGAACACAUUUAGUUCAGGAUUUAUGAAGAUGUACCAUUGUCCACAGAAGGUGGGAGACCCCCAACAAAGAUUUUUCGAGUGUAGUCAUGCUUCUCCCAAUAAUCAUUAUGCUAGAAAGAAACUGUCUUGUGAGAA